GACGAACGCUGGCGGCGUGCCUAACACAUGCAAGUCGAGCGAGUGGAGUUCUUCGGAACAAAGCUAGCGGCGGACGGGUGAGUAACACGUGGGCAACCUGCCUCAUAGAGGGGAAUAGCCUCCCGAAAGGGAGAUUAAUACCGCAUAAGAUUGUAGCUUCGCAUGAAGUAGCAAUUAAAGGAGCAAUCCGCUAUGAGAUGGGCCCGCGGCGCAUUAGCUAGUUGGUGAGGUAACGGCUCACCAAGGCGACGAUGCGUAGCCGACCUGAGAGGGUGAUCGGCCACAUUGGGACUGAGACACGGCCCAGACUCCUACGGGAGGCAGCAGUGGGGAAUAUUGCACAAUGGGGGAAACCCUGAUGCAGCAACGCCGCGUGAGUGAUGACGGCCUUCGGAUUGUAAAGCUCUGUCUUCAGGGACGAUAAUGACGGUACCUGAGGAGGAAGCCACGGCUAACUACGUGCCAGCCGCCGCAGUAA
rnacentral:rRNA from 1 species